GUUUCUUCAAUAAAAGGUAUUGGGGAAACUGGACAGUCACAUGCAAAGCAAUAAAACUGGACCUCAAUCACACACCAUACACAAAAAUCAACUCAAAAUUGAUUAAGGGCUUAAAUGUAAGAUCUGAAAGCAUAGAACUCCUAGAAGAAAACAUAGGGAACAAAAUAUCAG